rnacentral:rRNA from 1 species
ACGAACGCUGGCGGUAGGCCUAACACAUGCAAGUCGAACGGCAGCACAGGAGAGCUUGCUCUCUGGGUGGCGAGUGGCGGACGGGUGAGGAAUACAUCGGAAUCUACUUUUUCGUGGGGGAUAACGUAGGGAAACUUACGCUAAUACCGCAUACGACCUACGGGUGAAAGCAGGGGACCUUCGGGCCUUGCGCGAUUGAAUGGGCCGAUGUCGGAUUAGAUAGUUGGCGGGGUAAAGGCCCACCAAGGCGACGAUCCGUAGCUGGUCUGGGAGGAUGAUCAGCCACACUGGAACUGAGACACGGUCCAGACUCCUACGGGAGGCAGCAGUGGGGAAUAUUGGACAAUGGGCGCGAGCCUGAUCCAGCCAUACCGCGUGGGUGAAGAAGGCCUUCGGGUUGUAAAGCCCUUUUGUUGGGAAAGAAAUCCAGCCGGUUAAUACCUGGUUGGGAUGACGGUACCCAAAGAAUAAGCACCGGCUAACUUCGUGCCAGCCGCCGCGGUAA